UGGUCUUCAAAACACCAUGUUACCACAAGAUAUUGCUACUUACUUACUUCCUACUCAUGCCCAUCUCAUAAUCAUAUCAGCAUAAGUUGAAAAACUAAAAUUCGCCAACAGCAAAGUUUCUUGAAUUCUUCUAUUGAAAAAUUCAUCAAAGACAGAUUUUUAUUCUCGUUUCAAUGGCAUAAAUUUACGCAAUGUAAACAGAUGUCCAAAACUUUAGUACCUGGUUGUAGAAUGGCCAAGUUUCUAUAUUCUGAGCUCUCAAUGUAUNNNNNNNNNNNNNCUGGUAGAUCUUUCCAAUUGGUCGCAGGAAUUUCGGUCUCUAGGAUAGUUUAACGCCAAUUAAUUAUCACUUUACCGAGGGAAAUGAACAUAAUAUAGAACCAUAUUGCAAAAUCAAUCAUGU
rnacentral:lncRNA from 1 species